UAGUUCAAAUGUCACCUCUUCCACAGAGC
rnacentral:piRNA from 1 species